GCGUCAGUAGUGCAAGGGGUUGGAGCACGAGCUCCCGGAUAGAGUGAGAUGCGGGUUCAAGUCCCGCCUGACGCG